AACUGUGGUGGCUGGAUAAUUAC
rnacentral:piRNA from 1 species